rnacentral:rRNA from 1 species
CGGGGGGGGGGGCAAGCGUUGUUCGGGAAUUACUGGGGCGUAAAGCGCGCGCAGGCGGCCCGGCAAGUCCUACGUGAAAUCCCACAGCUCAACUGUGGAACUGCGUGGGAUACUGCCAGGCUUGAGUCCGGGAGAGGAGAGUGGAAUUCCCAGUGUAGCGGUGAAAUGCGUAGAUAUUGGGAGGAACACCGGUGGCGAAGGCGGCUCUCUGGACCGGUACUGACGCUGAGGCGCGAAAGCUAGGGGAGCAAACGGGAUUAGAUACCCCGGUAGUCCUAGCUGUAAACUUUGAGCACUUGGUGUGGCGGGUAUCGACCCCUGCCGUGCCGAAGCUAACGCAUUAAGUGCUCCGCCUGGGGAGUACGGUCGCAAAGGCUG